UUCGUUUUCCUCCCUCUUUUCACCCACAUCAUGUCUUCAAUUAAAGGAUUCAAUGAUCUUUAAAAGAACACAUGAUCUAAUUCGAUGCAUGUUCAUAACAACAACUAUAAAUGCGUCCCCAAAGACAACGCGUGGGAUUUGUUGAUGUUAAGAUCGGGACACCGUUCAUUAAAAGGAUACGUUGUAAAAUCAAAUCCUCUACUCUUCCAAAUGACUUAUCACAAUUUUUGUAGAACACCAACUGGUUGCCUUAAAAUCAAUUUUAAUAAAAACUUUUUAAUUAGUG